AUAUGCUUUGUGUCUGCCUGCACAGUGUGUAAUAUGCUGUGUGUCUGCCUGCACAGUGUGUAAUAUGCUGUGUGUCUACCUGCACAGUGUGUAAUAUGCUGUGUCUACCUGCACAGUGUGUAAUAUGCUGUGUGUCUACCUGCACAGUGUGUGAUAUGCUGUGUCUACCUGCACAGUGUGUAAUAUGCUGUGUGUCUACCAGAGCUCCAAGUAUUAGAUUUCAGGAGAGCAUACACACACCCUUCUUCAGAGUAUAUUAAACCAAAAUCAAGUAUUUUAUCUACCUUGUAUGA
rnacentral:lncRNA from 13 species